UUACACCGAGGGAAUAUCCGUGCAACUCGGGUCAUUUUGAACCUCAAAGCUAGCCUACAAACUAAACCUAAUAA
rnacentral:tRNA from 1 species